UACGUAGGUGACAAGCGUUGUCCGGAUUUACUGGGCGUAAAGAGCGCGCAGGCGGUCGAUCAAGUCGAGUGUGAAAGCCCCCGGCUCAACUGGGGAGGGUCAUUCGAUACUGAUCGACUCGAAGGCAGGAGAGGGUAGUGGAAUUCCAGGUGUAGCGGUGAAAUGCGUAGAUAUCGGAAGGAACACCAGUGGCGAAAGCGGCUUCCUGGUCCAGCACCGACGUUCAGGCACGAAAGCGUGGGGAGCAAACAGG
rnacentral:rRNA from 1 species